GGCUGAUAGCACAAUGGUUAGAUCGUUAGACUAUGGCGCGGGCAACCUGGGUUCAAAUCCCAGGUGCGCUG